UUUCUAUCUUUUUUUUUUUUUUUCCCCUUAGAAAGUGUACUAGUUUUCCUACAUUAAACGAGUAUUCAUGUGUAGUAAAGACAUAGCCUGCCAUUUUGGUACUAUCAAGUACCAUUGUAGUCAUAAUUUUCUUUCAUUUCUUUAAUUCAUCAGAUUUCUUUCAUGGAGGUGUCCAAGCCUAAAAGGAGCAAAUGAUCAGGAAGGAUACAUACAGUGAAUUUAAACCAGAAGGUAUCUGUUUAACUUCACAUUUGUUCUAUUACCUGCGGAGCAAAUUUCGAAAUCUUUCGCUUUCACAACCUGUUUUGUCUGGUGCGGUUUUGUCUUAGUUUCAGUAAUUUCAGUUGCCAGUUUGAUGGUAGCCCUUUGCAGAGCAGAACAUCGAAGUUAUCAGUGAACAUCCUUUCUACACAUUUUCAGACUGGAAAAAAAGAAAAAAAAAAAGGAAUAUCCAAUAAUCCAAUAGAACAUGUGGGAGAAAUUUCUGAAGAAACAAUUCAGCAAAUUGAAACAGUGAGGACAGGUCCUCCUAAUUGUAAUGGGAACAGCCAUCUUUACUCACACAGAUACGCUUCACCCGAUAAAGGCCUGCAUGCUUGAACUCCCACAACAUGAGUCAUAUGGAGCUGGUUAUUUCCUGGUGAAUAGCAAGAAGCAAGCAAAAAUUAUCAUUUGAAUAAAACAACCUGUGAGUACAAUGUAUUAAUUCAAUUUUACAGUAGAACCAAUAGCAAAAGUUCAUUUCUAGUCUUAAAGAAGCUGUACCAAAGGUGUUACAUGAUACUCAUGAAGGCCUAACAGGAUGUCCGUGACAAGCAAUGUUAAAAUGCUCCUUUCCUGAGAUGUGAAAAUGCUUUCAAUCACCACCUCCAGAUGAGUUCAUUCCUUUAAAGAUUCCAUUUCUUUGACAGUAUGUUUGUAAUGAAGUAGCUGCAUGAGUGUGUUUGACUUUAUUAUAUGUUGUGAAAGGUGAAUAUAUUGUAGGCAUUUAAGAGGUUCCUUAUAUCAGGCUUGUUAAAAAUUGAGAGCUUAGUAAAUGCAAAUGUUGCCCAGUUGAACACAUGACAUUAUGUGUAUUAGAUAUAUAAAUUUUUAAGUGUAUUUGUAUAUAUAGACAAUGUGAAAAUAUACAUAGUUAGUGAUACUCAUGAUCUAUAUUAUAAUGAUGAAGUGUGUACCUCUGUGACAGGAAUUUGCUGCUCUCAGUGGCAUUAGGUCACAAAAUAAUUUGGUUUAUUGUCUGGAGCCAAGCAAAUACUACAAAUUAUUUACAGAUAGAGAGCUAUUUCUUCUAUUUUCAAAGUACUAUAAUGAAUUUAUUACUGAAAGGUACUUUAUCAUGUUUUGAGAUAAAGUGUUCACAGUAAUUCAGAUGUGUAGAAGACACAGUUUGGACUGAGUGGCACCCUUAGCAUUUUUUUCAGAACUAC
rnacentral:lncRNA from 1 species